GACGAACGCUGGCGGCGUGCUUAACACAUGCAAGUCGAACGGAAAGGCCCUGCUUUUGUGGGGUGCUCGAGUGGCGAACGGGUGAGUAACACGUGAGUAACCUGCCCUUGACUUUGGGAUAACUUCAGGAAACUGGGGCUAAUACCGGAUAGGAGCUCCUGCUGCAUGGUGGGGGUUGGAAAGUUUCGGCGGUUGGGGGUGGACUCGCGGCUUAUCAGCUUGUUGGUGGGGUAGUGGCUUACCAAGGCUUUGACGGGUAGCCGGCCUGAGAGGGUGACCGGCCACAUUGGGACUGAGAUACGGCCCAGACUCCUACGGGAGGCAGCAGUGGGGAAUAUUGCACAAUGGGCGGAAGCCUGAUGCAGCAACGCCGCGUGCGGGAUGACGGCCUUCGGGCUGUAAACCGCUUUCGCCUGUGACGAAGCGUGAGUGACGGUAAUGGGUAAAGAAGCACCGGCUAACUACGUG
rnacentral:rRNA from 1 species